GGGGUUGUGGCUCAGUGGCAAAGCGCUCACCUAACGUGUGAAGAACUGGGUUCGAUCCUCAGCGCCACA
rnacentral:tRNA from 1 species